GCCUCUCUGCCGCUACAGUUAAAUCAAAGCAGCAGGAAAAGCUUAUACAACAACCUUCAAGUGUCAGCCUCUGAAAAUAGUCUGUUAACAUUAGCUGAGUUUUCCCACCGUUUAAAAUGGCUCAGUGUUUGGAGUGGAUCCAUGUUGUUUGUGUUUAUGCCCUUACGUUUCCUUUGGUGGAGACUUUACAGUACGUGACAUGGACGAGAAACAUGUGCCACUAAGUGCUCGGGUGCGCGCGGGCGUCUCUGUGUGUGAGGAUGUAUUGUCUCUGCGGUUAAUGACUGUUCGAUAUUGAUUGCAGCUGGAACGUCCCAGUCACAUGUUCCCCGUCCUCUCCAGAUAACGAGGGUUAACCACUUGACCCCGUGCAUGCCAAAGGGGCUCGGCUCAUACCUGGACGCGCAGCCCCGGCUCAAGCCGCGUCUCCCACAGCACUACCGAGGCCACGGGCCUCUGGUCUCCGGGCUGGGCCUGUAGAUCACAGUCGUGUCAUGGAGCCACGACUAAAGGGAAAUGUGCCAGACUUCAUUAAGGGCAGAUUAAAAGCGAGAGGAGGGCGUUUUAACCGUGAUUUACUUCCCCUGUGAGGUUGCUGGACGAAUUACGAGCCCGCAGCGGCUUCAUCCUGGAACCAUGAUGUCAUACUUUCAGUGUUUGCUAAGUGUAAAUAUCAGAUUGGGAAGGAACUAUGUGCUCGACAGCAGGGUUCAUCUUGGAUUCAGAGAGAAGAAAACAAAAGCGACAGCAAAUGUCUCUCCGUUCUCCAUUUACGAGCUGUUCAUAUAGACAUUCAUGGCCCACAGAGGAGGAAUGGCGAUCACCUGACAUUUCUUUUAACACCAGCAGGAGCAUCUUUAAGGAAAAAGUCUUCAAAGCAAUUGGAUAUACUGCAAUAAUAUCUGCUACGCGCUCGUGUUCCCUAAAGCGGGAUAGAAAUACUCUAGUAAUCCUUUCACGUGUGUCUGUGCCAAUAUCCAGUCAAAAUUUCAAUUAAUCCAGUACUUUGGGUUACAACUUAAUAACUGCUAAAGUGGUGACGUUCUUAAUCAGCCUCAGCUGAACUUUGCAACACUAAAAGUGAGAGGGUGAAUAAGCAGGACACCUACUUGGCAUCUGCCUGGUCAUUAUAAGCGUGUCAGCGUGUUAGUAGGUGUUUUGAAUUGUGAUUUGACCGCAUUCUGACGCAUUUGAUCAAGUAAAUAUAUUAAAUGAAUAAAAGCAUGAUUACAGUGCUGUGCAAAGGUGUUGAGCUACCCCUGAUUUCGUUAUAUUUUGCUUCCAAGGAGCCAGACUUUCCUGUAAUAUUUUAAAGUGGUCUUGAGCCACAGUUCUCCAGGUUUGCGAAGGUCAUUCCAAGCUUUUCUUUGGACACUGACUGCUUUUUAACUCAUUUUCAGUCCAGUCCUUGUACCGGACUACUUUCCAAGGAAGCUUUUGUUUGUUUGUCUGUUUGUUUGUUUCUUAAGCCACUCAACACUGACCUGAUCUAUAAAUCAUUCAAGCUCUUAAAGCAAAAAGCCACUUAACUUGUGAACCAGUGUUGUGUCUGCACAUAACAGACAAUUUGGCCAAGAACCAAUUUUAAAUUGUAUCUUUUGACCUUUAUUACUGGCAGCUUUUUGCACAAACACAUAAUUAGUUUAGCUGAAUCUGUGAAAAACAGUUUGACCGACAUAAAAAGAUAUUUUUGCACCAACAAGGUGAUUCUUAAGGAGCUAUUAGAUGAAAUGUUGGUAUAUUGUGACAUGGUGUGUAGCGUGGCCUUAAAAAUUUUGAGGAAACUAGACAAGUGGAGACAAAAGAAGAGGCAGCAGACCUAAAAAAACCCUACAGCAGACGAGGAGUAUCUGUACGACUGUUGAUGGAACAGUCUCAGUAGAAGGGUAGGUGUCAUUUAGGCAUUCUUAAGGAAGACGAAGGGGCUGAGGUGUGCUAAAUUAUACAAGAACUGGACUGAAAAUCAGAUGGAACAUGUUGUAGGAGGUCGAAAGAGAGGUACAACAGCGAGUGUCAUCUGAUAUUGAGCCCAAACACACUAAAAAAGCAGUAAAAGCAUACCUGGAUAACCAGCUGAUAAACAGCUGCACUGAAAUAAAUAAUGUGAGGUUCAAGAUUUUUACACAUUACUACCAAUCAGCGAUGAAAAAACCCCUUAGACAUGGGCGUUCUCCAUUUUGAAAUGUGUGUGCAUGAGCUGCUGUGAUAUGAAAGUACAUUCAGGCUAUUUAUGGAAGCACUAAUCACAGCCACCUAUACACAUUAACACAAUGACCUCAUUCCUUGAAAAUGCCAGUAUCUCAUAGGUAGCUGUAGGAAGGGUGAAAACACACUUAAAUGGGUCCUCCAUGAUCUGAGUGAACAUGAAAGCUAAGCUCAAUACACUCCUUGUUGCACAGACGACUUUUUGUUUAUGUAAAGGCAUGUGGACAGACAGUCAUCUUUCACAUAUUGUAGUGAAUAUAACAUUUUUGUCUUUUGAAAUCUAUAUAUACUAUUGUAAAAGAUUAAUUUUGAUCAUUCCUAGGACAAAUCUAUGGAUAAUGUUUUGCUGGGCUAACAAACCUCUACAACAAUAAUAUGGUAUAUGCAUCACCAUCCUCACGAACUGUUGGCCCUAUGUGUGGCAGUCCACAAAGUUGUACACAGGUGGCAUCUGUCCAUGACCACCUGAUUGGUCGUUAAAGCAUCAGGCAUCCAAGAUGGCAACUCUGUGGCAACUGCUGCUGUUGAGGAUGCGCACACAUUAACUGCACAAAUAUAAAUUUACUCAGACAAUUAGGGUGUAUAAUCACUGGAAGCCUGUGUUAUUGUUUCACAGAGAUUUAUGAGCUGUCAACACGCCACAGGAUGUAAUAAAAAAAAAUAAUUUCAGAAACCAUAA